rnacentral:tRNA from 2 species
CGGAGUGUAGCUCAGCCUGGUAGAGCACUGUCUUCGGGAGGCAGGGGUCGUGAGUUCAAAUCUCGCCAUCCCGACCA